AUGAACACUACCUCAGUAUCUUGCUUUCUUUUUGCACUACUUAUAUAAUGAAUUAUAUAUACAUAUAUAUGUUUAAUUUUAAAAUUAUAUGUACACACACAGUUAGUAAGUAAUUUUAUAUUUAUCUAUCUAUCCAUAUAUAAUGUAAUGCCCUGGUUCAUAUCUUUACUGUUAUCCUGUGUGUAUUUCAAUUAGCUGCUCUGUAAGUGCAGUCUGUUCUGCUGUCAGACUGUUUGGGUUAUUAAAGAUAAGGGAUGAUGAGGAAUGUGUGCCUUCCAGUUCAGAUGAUAGAAUUAGGAGGAGAUUUUCUUGGUGACGGGCACUAAGGUUGGUCUUGGGUUUUUGGUUCGGCGGGAGAUGACGAGAGAAGGUGCUGGGGAGAACCAGUUGUAGCAUACGAUCCGGUGGGAGACUCAUUUGUUCGAGAUGGAUUGCGAGCAACGUUCGGAAGGUGGUGUGUGCUUUCACGUUGACCGAGGACCCAGCACUAUUUAGCAUCUAUGGAAAUGAGUAAACAGUUGACGUUUGCAUCUGAGACCCUUCUCCAGGACUGUAAAGAAAGGGGGAAGAAGCCAGAAUAAGAAGGAGAAGGGAAGGGAUGGAGUAUAAACUGGCAGGUGACAGGAAAAGGCUUUCCACCUUUGAGCACAUAUACACAGAGCGUUGUCGCAGGAAAGCAGCAUCCAUCAUCAGGAACUCCCACCACCCAGGCCACGCUCUCUUCUCAGUGCUGCCAUCAGCAAGGAGGUACAGGAGCCUCAGGACUCACACCACCAGGCUGAGGAACAGUUAUUACCCCUCAAUCAACAAGCUCUUGAACCAGAGGAGAUAACUUCACUGAAAGUUUCUUACCUCAUCAUUGAACUGUUCUCACAACCUGUGGACUGAUUUUGAAGGACUCUUCAACUCAUGUUCUCGAUAUUUAUUGCUUAUUUUUUUAUAAUUAUUAUUACUUGUUUGUUUCCUUUUGUAUUUGCAUAGUUUUUUGUCUUUUGCAUAUUGGUUGUUUGUUGGCUAAGGUUUUUCAUUGAUUCUUUUGUGCUUCUUGUAUUUAC